UGAGAGAUCACCAAUACAAAUCCUCUCUGGGAAGCAAGAAGAAACAAAUCCAAAUACAUUUGAUCAGUUAUUAGAUCAUGCGUUGAAAUGGGUGGAGUCCAGAGAAACAUUCUCCUGUGCUUGCUGUGCUUCUUUGAUGUGAUUCCACCAUAUUUCUGCACUGGACUUCACGGUCAAACUGUGAGGUUCUCUCCUCAAGUUGCCAUUCACAUGGAG